AACGGAGAUCACUACCUUCCCAGUUACAGAACAAUCCAGCUCCUGUAAUUGAUGAACAAAAAUUAGGAAUUCACAAACCACCAUUAUGGAUGCACCGUUCCCUGAUGAGAAUAUCUGAGAGACCAUCAGUUUAUUUGGCUGCCAGGAAGAGCCUUCCACCAAAACCACCUCGUUUUGGCAAGGGAGAGUUUAAAAGAGCGGGCACAACCAAGACUUUGGCUUCAGAAAAAUCAAAGAAAGAAGUGAAACUGAAAAAAGAUGAAUGUGAAGCAAAA
rnacentral:lncRNA from 1 species